GCGGCUUUCUUACCCUUACCCUUAUCGUCGGCAGUUUUUGGAAGCUAUGAGUUCGAAGUUUUGAAGAAGACAAGUAGAAAAUCAAAGAUGAUUUGUGUAGAUAAAAUGACUAGGGUUCAAAAGUCUAGAGAAGACAAAAUGAUUUUGUCGAAGGCAAAGCGGUGGGUUCGUCAGAGGGUGAGUUAUCUUCGGAUGCGAAAAAAAUUUCGCACAGCAACAGUGCGAAACGAUUGUAAGCCGUUGGAUUUAACAAACGACAGAUGAACAAUGAACACAUUCCGAAGAUAACUCACCCUCUCUCAUAACCCUCAACAUAUUCCCACUGUACUCCACAAACUCUCUGCCCCCAAAUCCUCCUCCCUCUCCCUCUCUUCCUCGUCACCCUAAGCUUCACCGCCGACCAUCUGCUGUUGGCGACCUCCUCCUCCGCCAUUAAGCCCCGUCACCACCAACUCUGGAUCCGACCCCGACCUCAACCCAACGACCACUCCGCCACGACACGAGACCCAAACUCCGGAUCCAACCCCAACCCCAACUCCAGCGACCACUCCGCAACGACAAGAGAGAGUCUUGAAUCAGUUUUUCCCUCUCUCUCGCCGGCGUCGAAGACCCCAUCAAAGACCCCCACCCUAGGACCGUCGGAGACCCCCCCACCCCGUCGAAGACGAUCCCUCCCCCUCUCUCGCCGACGCAGGUAAUAACCAACCCCUAUUUUUUUCUUUACAAUGCUGAAAUUAUUAAGCCAAGAUCGUUACCUGUUUGAUCAAAUGCCACAGUCCUAAGGAUAUUUUUUAUUUUAAAUUGGGUGCUCAAAUUAUACAGCAAAUGGAUGUUGGGUGCUCAAAUUAUUAAGCCAGGAUCGUUACCUGUUUGAUCAAAUGCCACAAAGACGUUUGGCAGCUAAUUACAUUCAUUUGUUGUUGAAAUUACACCUAUCUGUUGUUGAAAUUACAUUCAUUUGCGGAACACAUUGCAUAUUACAUUCUUUUAAUUGUUAUGUUGGGAUGUUUCAGUACAACACUUGGAGCGUGUGAAGUGGUACGGUCCACACGUUCGCCAUAUUGUAGCUGAUGUUAGAUGUCAAAAAGUCUAAAUCAAACAAUUACUAUAUGCAAGUAUUGUUUCUUAUCCGAGAGAAUCAGAGAAACAAAGUGAAGAGUGAGAUUAUACAACAAUGUAUCAUUGACAGAAUUUAUGAGCGAUCAUGUAUUACUUUUAAAGAUUUUUAAGCUAAUAUUUACCUGAACAUGAAGUGUGUUAUACGGUGCAUAAGCUUUCAUGUUUUCAGAUGUCUGCUUGUCAUCAAAGCUGUGGAGAACUUUAGUUUCUUAGGUUGUGUAGUUGUAGAGAACUUUAAAGAGAGGUUAUUUAAGUAUAAUAUAAAGGUGCCAGAAGCUUGAAUUUGAUUGGUUGUUGGAUUUCAAUUGUUAUGUUGGUCAUUUUGCUUGAAUUUGGUUACAUGAAUGCAGAUUUGGUUGAUAAAUUUAGACCACAAAUCAAAUAUACAUUUGCAUUGUAGUUAGGUUCAAACUAUUUCAAUUUGCCUUACUGAUCAUGACUAAAUUUGGUUUCAAGAUAAAGUUGUAUAUUUUGGUACAUAGAGUCAUAUUCAAGCACUCGUCAUAGAUUGAUGUGUCAUUGUGGAAGGAGGGCUAUACUCUCCAGAUCUGGAACAACGACGAACCCUGGUCGAUUGUUUUUGGGAUGCGCUAAUUGGAAAAUGAAUAAUUGUGGAUUCUUUAAAUGGGUGUCUGAUGAAGAGGAGUUUGAAGGUUCAAAGGUAGGGCUUGUUCAGACGAAGCAGUCGAGCGUGAUCCCGCAAGUUUCAAGUGCCGUGUCAAUUGGAGAAGUUCGGGAAAAGAGAAAGAUUGAAAUUGAUAUUAUGGAAUUGUUAAAGCUUUUUGUAUUUGUUCUUUUAUUCGGUAUUUUUCUUGGAUUUGUAUUUGGUAUUUUUAUUGGAUUUGUGCUAAGUAGGGUGUAAGAAUGGAUUAUUGGAUGAGUAAGAUUUGUAUUUGAUAUGAUAAAUUUGGUUUUGCUUCCA